CCUGAGAAACCCAAAAGUUCGAAUGGGGAGAUUCAUCGCAAGCGAUUCCAGGUUCGUGUGCCGUUCGCGAUGCACGAGGCUUUCGGGCUUUCGUGUCACGCGUCGGCAUGUUUUUUUAUGCCUGAGUCGUCGGCGUGCACUUCUCCCCUAGUAGGACGUCGCGACCCGUUGGGUGUCGGUCUACGGCCCGGGCGGAAGCCUGUCGUGUGUCGUCGCUUUUACUGCGGCGUCAUGCUUCAGACCCCUGUGCGCCUGACCGACUGCCCGGCGGUACUCGCAAGGUAUCGGGCCGCAAUUUAAUUGCGUCCGGCCCGUCGCAAGCGAGGCAAGUGUUUCCCGGAUGUACGGACCUAGUGCCGUCACCGGGCCUGGCCAGCUGUUGGUUGACGGUGUCCUGGGACUGGCUCUUGAAAUUAUAUUAUGAUACCGGUCGGCGACGCUACUGCUUUGGGUACUUUCAGGA
rnacentral:rRNA from 1 species